UUUACGAUAAAACUUGAUAAUUUACUCAAACAUUGAGUAAACUGAUUAUUUGCAAUUACAUUUUACUCAAGGUCUGAGUAAAAUGAAUGCUUCAGUUUAACGGUUUUACUCAAGUAUUGAGUAAAAUUACUCAACAUGAUCAUUUGCUGGUAAUUUUACACACUUCACGAGUAAAAGAGUAAAGUGAAUAAUUUGCGUAGUGGAAGCACUGCGAAUGUAUGAAUUUUAGUCUUUGGCAACUGAUAAGUCGCAGAGUCUGUUGUGCGUUAGAAUCUGUUGAAUAAUCUGCGCUGGACGUUAAAAGCCAAAAAGAUGGAAAAAUCAAUUGACGGGUUAAAAGAGUAGUUGGUGGAAAUGGGUUUUGAGGAUUAUAUUGUGCGCAAUUUGAAGGGGCCCUGGAAAAAGUGAUUUCAACAAAAGGGAAUGAAAUUUUUGAAAAUGCUGGAAGAGAGUGCUGGAAAUGGCAUUCAGGAAUCAGGAAAUUGGAAUGAGUUGAACGGACUGAAGUCGCAUUGUCUACCUUCGUACCAUUUAUCAAUGAAAAUGAAGAUAUUGAGAAGAUGAUUAAGAAAAGCUAUAAACACUAUGACCGCAUGACCCUAACAUGCAUAAUGAUAAAUAUAUACGCAUGAUUCUUAAACGUACAUUACCGUAUUUUAUAAAUUAUAAAUUUAUGCAAUAUAAAAUUGUUUCACUCGUGGUUGCGUGUAAUUUCUUUACUUAAAUCCGAAUUUUUUCCUAAUCUGUUUGGUCGACUCACUUU